AUUGAUUCUGUUUCCCUCUUCCAGAGUGUGCCUUCAAGAUUGGGAUGAUGGAGAUAUAUGAGAGCAAGAGGAAGAGGAAGAGUGCAAUCCUCGCCGGCAAGGUGGAAGCCAUGACUUUGUGGUGGUGCCGACGAUGAAGAUGCAGCCACUCGAGAGAUCAGGAGUCUGGAGGCGACGAGGAGUCACAUACGGGAAAGAGACUCGUUGAUGUGGGAUGGGAUUGGAUAACACCGGUUGGGGGAGCGGCGACGAUGUAUGGGCCUAGAUAUGAUAGCACUGUGAUCAAUUGCUUACCCACCCAACCAAACAGUAAUUAAACAACGG
rnacentral:lncRNA from 1 species